GACGAACGCUGGCGGCGUGCCUAAUACAUGCAAGUUGAGCGCUGAAGGUUGGUACUUGUACCAACUGGAUGAGCAGCGAACGGGUGAGUAACGCGUGGGGAAUCUGCCUUUGAGCAGGGGACAACAUUUGGAAACGAAUGCUAAUACCGCAUAAAAACUUUAAACACAAGUUUUAAGUUUGAAAGAUGCAAUUGCAUCACUCAAAGAUGAUCCCGCGUUGUAUUAGCUAGUUGGUGAGGUAAAGGCUCACCAAGGCGAUGAUACAUAGCCGACCUGAGAGGGUGAUCGGCCACAUUGGGACUGAGACACGGCCCAAACUCCUACGGGAGGCAGCAGUAGGGAAUCUUCGGCAAUGGACGAAAGUCUGACCGAGCAACGCCGCGUGAGUGAAGAAGGUGUUCGGAUCGUAAAACUCUGUUGGUAGAGAAGAACGUUGGUGAGAGUGGAAAGCUCACCAAGUGACGGUAACUACCCAGAAAGGGACGGCUAACUACGUG
rnacentral:rRNA from 1 species